UACGAAGGGGGCUAGCGUUGCUCGGAAUGACUGGGCGUAAAGCGCACGUAGGCGGAUCUUUAAGUCAGGGGUGAAAUCCCAAGGCUCAACCUUGGAACUGCCUUUGAUACUGGGUAUCUCGAGUCCGGAAGAGGUGAGUGGAAUUCCGAGUGUAGAGGUGAAAUUCGUAGAUAUUCGGAGGAACACCAGUGGCGAAGGCGGCUCACUGGUCCGGUACUGACGCUGAGGUGCGAAAGCGUGGGGAGCAAACAGG
rnacentral:rRNA from 1 species